rfam:Brachypodium distachyon strain Bd21 chromosome 3, whole genome shotgun sequence.
GUUGUACUCCCUCCGUCUAACAAAAAAUGCGUCAAGUUUGUUAAAAUUUGGAUGUAUCUAGACAUGACUUAGUAUAUAGAUGCAUUCAAAUUUAGUCAAAGUUAAAACAUUUUUUGUUGGACGGAGGGAGUAUUAG